rnacentral:rRNA from 1 species
AUGGCGUCGAGCACCGGGGAGACCGCUCCCGGUUCUAGCUCACCCGCUGUGGCAAUUGCUGCUCCUCCGCCGGCGACCCCCAUGGAGGUCAAGAUGGGUGCCGGACUUCUGGCAGCGGCAGCAUGCUCGGGCACUUUCAACAAGCUGGAAUCGCUUCUUGACGGGCAAACAGCCGCCCCCAGCAACGGCACCGUCGGAAACCUGGCAGUGCAGUCAGCUUCUCCACCCGGUGACGAAGAAGCAUUUCUCCGAGAGUCGCUCGUGUAUGCGGUCACCGCCGGAGGUGACACUCUUCUCCAUGUGGUUGCCGCCACCACUAGUUAUCACGAGGAUUUCUUGAAAAAAGCUGGUUUCAUCUACGGGAAGGCACCAGACCUCCUCUUCAUGCAGAACAGCAGGGGAGAUACACCCUUGCACUGUGCUGCACGGAUGGCCAACAUCCAAAUGGUGUCUCUUCUCAUUGAUCUUGCUAGAGGCGAGGACGGCAGCACUAACAGAGUGAAGGCACUGCUGAGAACAGAAAAUAAGAUCAACGAGACAGCCUUGCAUGCCGCUGCCAAGUCUUGCUUCAUUGGGCAAUAUAAAGUAGUCAAGUUGCUCAUGGAGGAGGACUCACAAUUAGCCAGUUUUCCGAAGGACGGUACUUCGCCGCUAUACCUGGCCAUCUUACUUCAAAGAAAAAGCAUCACAAAAACACUCUACGAGUUGAGCGACGGGGUUCUUUCAUACUCCGGACCAAAUGGACAAAAUGCCUUGCAUGCUGCUGUUCUCCGAGGCAAAGAUCUUACAGAGAUGUUGUUAGAAUGGAACAAAGCCCUUACAAUACAACAAGAUGAGAAUGGAAGUACACCUCUCCACUUGGUUGCAUCUGUGCUAGGGCAAAGUGACCGACGGACUAUACGUGCACUUCUACUGGAAGCCAAUCCAGACGCAUUGUAUCAACCUGACAACAAUGGACUAUUCCCCAUACACGUGGCUGCAUCCGUUGAUGCAACACUUGCCAUCAGUGAUUUUCUUAAGAAGUCAUCCAGAUGUGCUGGUUUGCGCAAUGCUCGGGGAAGGACAUUUCUUCAUAUUGCAGUUGACAAAAUGCAUAUACAUACUGUCGGUUCUGCUUGCAGAAGCAGAUCGUUAUCAUGGAUUUUGAAUAUGCAAGACAAUGAUGGAAACACUGCACUACACCUAGCUAUCCAGGGAGGGGGUCUUACAAUGUUUUGUGCUCUAUUUGGCAAUAGACAAGUAUCCUUAAAUUUAACAAAUGAGAAAGGUGAGACUGCACUAGACAUAGCACGUUGCAAUCUUCCCAAACACGGACUGUAUUACAACCAGAACAGUGAAGCAAAAAUACACCUCGCACUAAAAUUUGCUGGUGCUAAAUGCGGUAUUUCUCGCCAGGAUAAUUUUGAAGAAAAUGAUAUUAUCCAAGAAACACAGGAUGAUAAUAAAAACAAGGAGAUAGUGAAAGAAGGAACACAAACUCUAUGUAUUGGCUCUGUCCUAAUUGCAACUGUGACGUUUGGUGCAACUUUUGCCAUGCCUGGAGGUUAUAGAGCUGAUGAUCACAAUAAUGGAGGCACACCAACACUUGCUGGAAGGUAUGCAUUUGAUGCAUUUACCCUGGCCAACGCACUUGCCUUCACUUUUGCCACGAUGGCUACAAUUUCCCUCAUGUCUUCUGGAUCUCCCUUGUAUAAUAUUCGGAGCCGGAAAAUGCACCUAGGAAUGGCCUUCUAUUUCAUGAAGAUUUCACUUGCAAGCUUGGUGGCUGCCUUUGCAAUUGGUACCUAUAUGAUGAUAUCUCCAGUUGCUCACAAGGCUGCUACAGGAGUAUGUGUCUUAAGUUCCCUCCUAUUGCUCUAUACAAAUUUGGAAUUGACAAUAAAAAAUGUUGUUCUGAUAGCACCAUUAUGUAUGAGAAAGGGAAUACUUUGGACACUCCUAACAUCAGUGGUCGUAAUCAUAGGCAAUAUUACAGUUCAACUUUGGCCCAUAAUAGUCAUAUUUUGUUCGACUGCAAGAAACUACCCCGCUGGCAAAGUGGAACCAGCGGUACAACCACCGACACCAUUUGUUUGA